GACGGAGGGUGCAAGCGUUGCUCGGAAUUACUGGGCAUAAAGAGUGGGUAGGUGGUGAGCACAGUCUGGGGUGAAAGCCUUGAGCUUAACUCAAGAAGGACCUCAGAAACAUGCUGACUAGAGCCUCAAGAGGGUUGUGGAAUUCUCGGUGGAGCGGUGAAAUGCGUAGAGAUCAGAGGAAGGCCGAAGGCGAAAGCGACGCCUGGGGGAGGAAACUGACACUGAAACUACGAAAAGCGUGGGGGAGCAAAACAGG
rnacentral:rRNA from 1 species